GUCAGGAUGGCCGAGUGGUCUAAGGCGCCAGACUCAAGGUAGUACCUUCGCUUGUGGAGUGUUCUGGUCUCCGUAUGGAGGCGUGGGUUCAAAUCCCACUUCUGACA
rnacentral:tRNA from 1 species